CGACAGCUUGUCAGGGUAACGGGCGAGAGCUGUGGAAAUCCGCAAUCGUGGGGAAGUCCUGAGAGGCGGAAAGGGUGGCGAAGGAAGCGCCCUAGGACGAACGGCUUCCGGGG
ncrna:unclassified sequences Betaproteobacteria-1 RNA